rnacentral:rRNA from 1 species
UACGUAGGGUGCAGGCGUUAAUCGGAAUUACUGGGCGUAAAGCGUGCGCAGGCGGUUUCUUAAGUCAGAUGUGAAAGCCCCGGGCUUAACCUGGGAACUGCGUUUGAAACUGGGAGACUUGAGUGUGGCAGAGGGGGGUGGAAUUCCACGUGUAGCAGUGAAAUGCGUAGAUAUGUGGAGGAACACCGAUGGCGAAGGCAGCCCCCUGGUUUAACACUGACGCUCAUGCACGAAAGCGUGGGGAGCAAACAGG